rnacentral:rRNA from 1 species
GGCGCACGGGUGCGUAACGCGUAUGCAAUCUACCUUUUACAGAGGGAUAGCCCAGAGAAAUUUGGAUUAAUACCUCAUAGUAUUAUUGAAUGGCAUCAUUUAAUAAUUAAAGUCACAACGGUAAAAGAUGAGCAUGCGUCCCAUUAGCUAGAUGGUAAGGUAACGGCUUACCAUGGCAACGAUGGGUAGGGGUCCUGAGAGGGAGAUCCCCCACACUGGUACUGAGACACGGACCAGACUCCUACGGGAGGCAGCAGUGAGGAAUAUUGGUCAAUGGGCGCAAGCCUGAACCAGCCAUGCCGCGUGCAGGAUGAAGCAUCUAUGGUGUGUAAACUGCUUUUGUACGAGAAGAAACACUCCUUCGUGAAGGAGCUUGACGGUAUCGUAAGAAUAAGGACCGGCUAACUCCGUGCCAGCAGCCGCGGUAAUACGGAGGGUCCAAGCGUUAUCCGGAAUCAUUGGGUUUAAAGGGUCCGUAGGCGGUUUUGUAAGUCAGUGGUGAAAGCCCAUCGCUCAACGGUGGAACGGCCAUUGAUACUGCAAGACUUGAAUUAUUAGGAAGUAACUAGAAUAUGUAGUGUAGCGGUGAAAUGCUUAGAUAUUACAUGGAAUACCAAUUGCGAAGGCAGGUUACUACUAAUGGAUUGACGCUGAUGGACGAAAGCGUGGGGAGCGAACAGGAUUAGAUACCCU